UCCGUCUAAGAAAUAUUUUUGGCAAAAUCUGUGGCAAAAUGGUUAAAUUCGAUAAAAUUUAUACACAAUUUGUCGAAGGUUAGUAUUGUUGUUUGUUUAAAACUGUGAGAGAAGAUUAAUUGUGUACUAGAACACACCUCUGAGGCUCUGACCAAGUAUUUAGGGCAAAAAUAUGUGCCUUCAUUGGCUUCGUCGUAUAGCGUUAAUGUUUAUAUUUAUAAAACUAAAGUCUGGGUUUAUAAACUGAAACAUGACCUUAGUUUUUGAUAUUCUUCAUAGUCGAGUUUAAGUUGGCCUAAUUUAUAGUUAGUUACUACUAGAAAUGCGACGAUAUUUUGUUAUAUCAUAUGCAACAGUGUUUACAACUUUUGAAUAAUAUGUCAUUUGGUUUUGUUUCAGAUACUAUUACAUGUUGCUUCAUUUUACCAUAAAUUGUGUUAAAAAAGUGAUUUACUCAUUUGGCUGAUGUUACAGUUUUCUGAUAUGUUUUGUUUGGAUGAUAUUAGAACAAUUUCAAUAUGAAAGUGCAGGUGCAUCAAAAUACUGAUAAAAUCCGUUUCCAGCUUGAUUGUAUUUGCAUUGUUGCGGACAAAGUUGUGCAAUGGUGGGCUUAUGUCACAUACUCGUAUGUAAUUCCAUGUGCAUGCUUGUACUUUGAUGCCUCAAGAGAUGCUUCGAAUGUGUAAUAAAGGACUGUUCGCAGGAGUUGGGCUGUCUGGCCUUAAAUUGCAUUGUUUUUAUGAUAUUUUAAGAUUGUAUUCAUAUGGCUGGACCAUCUUGCCAUUUGGCCAAUGUCUGAUGUUUAAACAGGCUUUAAAAUCAGGUUACAAUGCAUGCUUGAAAAUAUGCAACAAUUUCACUGCUAAUAAUAUUCCAGAAAAUCCUGCCUCUUGGGAAGAUCUGGACUGAUUUGUGAGAGGGGGUUGUAGGUUUUCUACUUGUGAUCGGGAAGGGGAG